AUUCGACUGCUUAUUUUCGAUUUUGGUAUCUUGUCAGUUGUCUUCCACCAGUUUGCUGGGAGCAUAGCCUAAGUUCCGUUUUACUUGUCCGCACAACCUCACACAAUUCAACUCUUCUUUCGUCAAGUCCAGCUC